rnacentral:rRNA from 1 species
UACAGAGGUCUCAUGCGUUGUUCGGAAUUACUGGGCGUAAAGGGUGCGUAAGCUGCAUGGAAAGUCAGAUGUGAAAUCCGGGGGCUCGACCUCCGAAUUGCAUCCGAUACUACCAUGCUAGAGAACUGGAGGGGAGUCUGGAAUUCUCGGUGUAGCAGUGAAAUGCAUAGAUAUCGAGAGGAACACUAGUGGCGAAGGCGAGACUCUGGACAGUAUCUGACGCUCAUGCACGAAGGCCAGGGGAGCGAACGGG